rnacentral:rRNA from 1 species
CUUAAUACAUGCAAGUCGAACGUUAAGUGUAGCAAUACACUGAAAGUGGCGAACGGGUGAGUAACACGUAAGUAAUCUGCCUUUAAGAUUGGGAUAACCUUGCCAACGCGGGGCUAAUACCGGAUGUGGUCAGAUGGACGCAUGUCUGUUUGAUUAAAGGAGUGAUCCGCUUAAAGAUGAACUUGCGGCCCAUUAGCUUGUUGGCGGGGUAACGGCCCACCAAGGCUGCGAUGGGUAGCCGGCCUGAGAGGGUGUACGGCCACAUUGGGACUGAGAUACGGCCCAGACUCCUACGGGAGGCAGCAGUAGGGAAUUUUGCGCAAUGGACGAAAGUCUGACGCAGCAACGCCGCGUGAGGGAUGACGGCCUUCGGGUUGUAAACCUCUGUUGGAUGGGAAAAAAAGGUAGCAAUACUUUGAUGGUACCAUUUGAGGAAGCACCGGCUAACUACGUGCCAGCAGCCGCGGUAAUACGUAGGGUGCAAGCGUUGUUCGGAAUCACUGGGCGUAAAGAGAGCGUAGGCGGGAUUGUAAGUUAGAAGUUUAAUACAUGGGCUUAACCCGUGGCUGGCUUUUAAUACUGCAGUUCUUGAGUAUGGGAGAGGGCGAUGGAAUUCCAGGUGUAGCGGUGGAAUGCGUAGAUAUCUGGAAGAACACCAGUAGCGAAGGCGGUCGCCUGGCCUAAUACUGACGCUGAGGCUCGAAAGCUAGGGGAGCAAACAGGAUUAGAUACCCUGGUAGUCCUAGCCGUAAACGAUGAACACUAGUUGCCGGAGGAGUCAAUCUUUUUGGUGACGAAGCUAACGCAUUAAGUGUUCCGCCUGGGAAGUACGCUCGCAAGAGUGAAACUCAAAU